CGUGUAGGCGGCUUGACAAGUCAGAUGUGAAAUCCCUGGGCUUAACCCAGGAAGUGCAUUUGAAACUGUCUUGCUUGAGUAAGGGAGAGGAAAGUGGAAUUCCUGGUGUAGAGGUGAAAUUCGUAGAUAUCAGGAGGAACACCGGUGGCGAAGGCGACUUUCUGGCCCUAUACUGACGCUGAGACGCGAAAGCGUGGGUAGCAAACA
rnacentral:rRNA from 1 species